rfam:Spironucleus salmonicida unplaced genomic scaffold scf7180000020645, whole genome shotgun sequence.
UCCCAAAUGGUAUAACGGUUAGCAUUUCUGGUUUUCACCCAGGAGAUCCGGGUUCGAUUCCCGGUUUGGGAG